rnacentral:rRNA from 1 species
AUUGAACGCUGGCGGCAUGCCUUACACAUGCAAGUCGAACGGCAGGCACGGGAGCAAUCCUGGUGGCGAGUGGCGAACGGGUGAGUAAUAUAUCGGAACGUGCCCAGUCGUGGGGGAUAACGUAGCGAAAGCUACGCUAAUACCGCAUACGAUCUAUGGAUGAAAGCGGGGGAUCGCAAGACCUCGCGCGAUUGGAGCGGCCGAUAUCAGAUUAGGUAGUUGGUGAGGUAAAGGCUCACCAAGCCGACGAUCUGUAGCUGGUCUGAGAGGACGACCAGCCACACUGGGACUGAGACACGGCCCAGACUCCUACGGGAGGCAGCAGUGGGGAAUUUUGGACAAUGGGCGCAAGCCUGAUCCAGCAAUGCCGCGUGCAGGAUGAAGGCCUUCGGGUUGUAAACUGCUUUGUACGGAACGAAACGGUGAGCUCUAAUACAGUUUGCUAAUGACGGUACCGUAAGAAUAAGCACCGGCUAACUACGUG